rnacentral:rRNA from 1 species
AUGGCGACGUCGUCCCCGCCGCCGCCCCGCGUGUGCGUCACCGGCGGCAACGGGUUCAUAGGCUCGUGGCUCGUCAAGCUGCUCCUCUCCCGCGGCUACGCCGUCCACGCCACCGUCCGCGACCCACGUGAUCCGAAGAACGCGUUCCUGGCGGAACUGGACGGAGCCCCGGCGAACCUGCGGCUGUUCAAGGCGGACAUGCUCGACUACGAGACGGUGGCGGCCGCGUUCGCCGGCUGCGAGGGCGUCUUCCAUGUUGCCACUCCAGUGCCCGAUCAAAAGAUGGUUGACCCACAGAAAGAGAUGAUGGAACCUGCUGUCAAGGGCACCAUGAAUGUGCUCAAGGCUUGCUCAGCUACGAAAGUUCAUAAACUCAUCGUGGUCUCGUCCAUCGCCACUAAUUGCUUCAACCCGGAUUGGCCUCGAGAUAAAAUCAAAGAUGAGAGCUGUUGGUCAGACAAGGAGUUCUGCAGACAGACUGAGAACUGGUAUUCUCUUGCAAAGACUGAAGCCGAGGAGAUGGCCCUGGAAUACGGAGAGAAGAACGGGCUGCACGUCGUCACAUUUUGCCCUGGUCUGGUUUUCGGCCCUCUGUUGAAGCAUGUGGCGGUCAAUACCAGCAGCAAGGUCCUCGUCUACAUGAUAAAAGGAGGCCCCGACACGAUGAACAACAAGUUCUUUCCCAUAGUAGACGUUCGUGAUAUCGCCGACGCAUUGCUCCUGUUGUACAACAAGGCAGGGCAGUCUGAGAGAUACAUAUGCUCACUGGACCAAAUGGACCUAAAGGAUUUGCUCGCAAUCCUGAAGAGCAUGUACCCUAGCUACACUUAUGUAGACAAGAUGGUUGAUGUGGAUUUUAGCGUUGGAGUCACUUCGGAAAAGCUGAAGAAUUUAGGGUGGAAACCAAGGAAGUUGGAGGAGACACUCGCAGAUAGUAUCGAAUCCUACGAAAAAGCAGGGCUUCUUGGGGUUUCAGAUGACGAACCAUGCCGGCUUCCAUUCAUCUAUCGAAUGCCGCCUAUCCAGGAAUGA